rnacentral:lncRNA from 1 species
CAUUGGAGGCAUUUUUUGAAACACCCCGCGGCAGUGCCGCCGAGCUUCAGCGGCAUUUUCUGGUCAAUCGGCCGGUUCUUUUACUCCAAUUUGGCCAUGAAUGAGUUUAAAAUUGAAUUACAUGCAAAAGAGGAAAUUUUUACCUCGUUUGGCAGUCGAAAAUUGCUCCAGUACGGCGGCGGGUGACGGCGGUCGGCUCCCCAGCGGGUUGGAUUGUCUUCUCCGGCAAUGGGCUCUAGC